rnacentral:tRNA from 2 species
GCCGCGGUAGUAUAGCCUGGCCUAGUAUGCAGGCCUGUCGAGCCUGUGACCCGGGUUCAAAUCCCGGCCGCGGCG